rnacentral:rRNA from 1 species
CCUACGGGUGGCAGCAGUGAGGAAUAUUGGUCAAUGGACGAGAGUCUGAACCAGCCAAGUAGCGUGAAGGAUGACUGCCCUAUGGGUUGUAAACUUCUUUUAUAUGGGAAUAAACUGUUCCACGUGUGGGAUUUUGUAUGUACCAUAUGAAUAAGGAUCGGCUAACUCCGUGCCAGCAGCCGCGGUAAUACGGAGUAUCCGAGCUUUAUCCGGAUUUAUUGGGUUUAAAGGGAGCGUAGGUGGAUUGUUAAGUCAGUUGUGAAAGUUUGCGGCUCAACCGUAAAAUUGCAGUUGAUACUGGCAGUCUUGAGUACAGUAGAGGUGGGCGGAAUUCGUGGUGUAGCGGUGAAAUGCUUAGAUAUCACGAAGAACUCCGAUUGCGAAGGCAGUUCACUGGACUGCAACUGACACUGAGGCUCGAAAGUGUGGGUAUCAAACAGGAUUAGAGACCCUUGUAGUC